UNUCCACUGCCAUGUACGGUGCCCAUGCCC
rnacentral:piRNA from 1 species